rnacentral:rRNA from 1 species
UGAGCAAUCUGCCCUUCUCUUUGGAAUAAGCGUUGGAAACGACGUCUAAUGCCGAAUACGACCUCCUUUCGCAUGAUCGGAGGUGGAAAGCUCCGGCGGAGAAGGAUGAGCUCGCGGCCUAUCAGCUAGUUGGUGUGGGUAAUGGCCCACCAAGGCGACGACGAGUAGCCGGCCUGAGAGGGUGACCGGCCACACUGGGACUGAGACACGGCCCAGACUCCGUACGGGAGCAG